rnacentral:rRNA from 1 species
GAUGAACGCUGGCGGCGUGCCUAAUACAUGCAAGUCGAGCGACCGGACGAGAAGAUUGCUUCCCUGAUGUUAGCGGCGGACGGGCGAGUAACACGUGGAUAACCUACCUAUAAGACUGGGAUAACUUCGGGAAACCGGUGCUAAUACCGGAUGAUAUUUUGAACCGCAUGGAUCAAAAGUGAAAGACGGUCUUGCUGUCUCUUAUAGAUGGAUCCGCGCUGCAUUAGCUAGUUGGUAAGGUAACGGCUUACCAAGGCAACGAUGCAUAGCCGACCUGAGAGGGUGAUCAGCCACACUGGAACUGAGACACGGUCCAGACUCCUACGGGAGGCAGCAGUAGGGAAUCUUCGGCAAAGGGCGAAAGCCUGACGGAGCCACGCCGCGUGAGUGAUGAAGGUCUUCGGAUCGUAAAGCUCUGUUAUUAGGGAAGAACAGAUGUGUAAGUAACUGUGCACAUCUUGACGGUACCUAAACAGAAAGCCACGGCUAACUACGUG